UGGAAAAGGCCAGAGCCUCCUCUCUAAGCUUGGCUGAGGCACCAGGACAUGGAGCCAAGGAGGCUGGAGGCCUCCCUGCCGGCCUGGAGUUUUCCCUGGGGUACAGAGCCCAGCAGCCUCUGCAGGGGAGGACUACAGAACAACAUCCUCCAUAAGCUCCUGUUCAGAGAAUCUGAGAAUGUGCAGACAGGACCCCAGGGACCAUCCAUGUCAGCUCCUUUACUGUAGAGACCAGAUACCCAAGUUGAAAGAAAAUGACUUGCUCCACGUCAUAGAUGAGCUGGUGGCGGCAUACCUUCUGCAUGCAAGGCAGGAACUGCGGCAGUCACAAAGAGUGGGACAACAUAUUCCAGAUGUGAUUCCUGCUUUCAAAUGACCAUCAACCAGAUCAGAAUGGAUUGUUAGCAAGGCCAGCAUUGGAUAAGUGUCUGGACUCCUGGUCUUGGGCCUCUCCACUAGAUCUCACUGAUACUAACGUUCACUUUGGGAGAACCACAGGCAGAGAGCUGAAUCCCAGAGAGAUGAUGUGGGGACGCCUAGGUCACUGCACUUUGCCACUCUGUAUACCUCCUGGCAGUGGAGCUUGGCGUCUACUUACCUCAGGAGAGACUUUGGAAGGCUGCAGGAUGCAAAGCUGGAGCACUAAGAAAGAA